rnacentral:rRNA from 1 species
AGUGAAUAGAUACCCGGGUAGUCCCAGCUGUAAACGAUGCGCGUUAGGUGUAUCGGUGACCACGAGUCACCGAGGUGCCGAAAGGGAAACCGUGAAACGUGCCGCCUGGGAAGUACGGUCGCAAGGCUGAAACUUAAAGGAAUUGGCAGGGGAGCACCACAACAGGUGGAGCCUGCGGUUUAAUCGGACUCAACGCCGGGAAGCUCACCGGAUAAGACAGCUGAAUGAUAGCCGGGUUGAAGACUCUGCUUGACUAGCUGAGAGGAGGUGCAUGGCCGUCGUCAGUUCGUACUGUGAAGCAUCCUGUUAAGUCAGGCAACGAGCGAGACCCACGCCAACAGUUGCCAGCAUGUCCUCCGGGGAUGGUGGGGACACUGUUGGGACCGCCUCUGCUAAAGAGGAGGAAGGAAUGGGCAACGGUAGGUCAGCAUGCCCCGAAUUAUCCGGGCUACACGCGGGCUACAAUGGUCAGGACAAUGGGUAUCAACACCGAAAGGU